GACGAACGCUGGCGGCGUGCUUAACACAUGCAAGUCGAACGGAAAGGCCCUGCUUUUGUGGGGUGCUCGAGUGGCGAACGGGUGAGUAACACGUGAGUAACCUGCCCUUGACUUUGGGAUAACUUCAGGAAACUGGGGCUAAUACCGGAUAGGAGCUCCUGCUGCAUGGUGGGGGUUGGAAAGUUUCGGCGGUUGGGGAUGGACUCGCGGCUUAUCAGCUUGUUGGUGGGGUAGUGGCUUACCAAGGCUUUGACGGGUAGCCCGCCUGAGAGGGUGACCGGCGACAUUGGGACUGAGAUACGGCCCAGACUCCUACGGGAGGCAGCAGUGGGGAAUAUUGCACAAUGGGCGGAAGCCUGAGGCAGAAACGCCGCGUGCGGGAUGACGGCCUUCGGGUUGUAAACCGCUUUCGCCUGUGACGAAGCGUGAGUGACGGUAAUGGGUAAAGAAGCACCGGCUAACUACGUG
rnacentral:rRNA from 1 species